CCUACGGGAGACAGCAGUGAGGAAUAUUGGUCAAUGGACGCAAGUCUGAACCAGCCAUGCCGCGUGCAGGAAGACGGCUCUAUGAGUUGUAAACUGCUUUUGUACGAGGGUAAACGCAGAUACGCGUAUCUGUCUGAAAGUAUCGUACGAAUAAGGAUCGGCUAACUCCGUGCCAGCAGCCGCGGUAAUACGGAGGAUUCAAGCGUUAUCCGGAUUUAUUGGGUUUAAAGGGUGCGUAGGCGGUCGGAUAAGUUAGAGGUGAAAUCCCGAGGCUCAACUUCGGAAUUGCCUCUGAUACUGUUCGGCUAGAGAGUAGUUGCGGUAGGCGGAAUGUAUGGUGUAGCGGUGAAAUGCUUAGAGAUCAUACAGAACACAGAUUGCGAAGGCAGCUUACCAAGCUACGUCUGACGUUGAGGCACGAAGGCCAGGGGAGCGAAAGGGAGUAGAUACCCUUGUAGUC
rnacentral:rRNA from 1 species